GAUGAACGCUGGCGGCGUGCUUAACACAUGCAAGUCGAGCGAGUGAGUUCUUCGGAACGAUCUAGCGGCGGACGGGUGAGUAACACGUGGGCAACCUGCCUCAUGGAGGGGAAUAGCCUCCCGAAAGGGAGAUUAAUACCGCAUAAAAUUAUCGAGUGGCAUCACAUGAUAAUCAAAGGAGUAAUCCGCUAUGAGAUGGGCCCGCGGCGCAUUAGCUAGUUGGUGAGGUAACGGCUCACCAAGGCGACGAUGCGUAGCCGACCUGAGAGGGUGAUCGGCCACAUUGGGACUGAGACACGGCUCAGACUCCUACGGGAGGCAGCAGUGGGGAAUAUUGCACAAUGGGGGAAACCCUGAUGCAGCAACGCCGCGUGAGUGAUGAAGGUCUUCGGAUUGUAAAGCUCUGUCUUUGGGGACGAUAAUGACGGUACCCAAGGAGGAAGCCACGGCUAACUACGUGCCAGCAGCCGCUGUAA
rnacentral:rRNA from 1 species